rnacentral:rRNA from 1 species
UCGAGAAUCUUCGGCAAUGGGCGCAAGCCUGACCGAGCGACGCCGCGUGGAGGAUGAAGGCCUUCGGGUUGUAAACUCCUGUCGAGGGGGAAGAAGGGUCGAAAGGCCUUGACUGAUCCCUGGAGGAAGCACGGGCUAAGUUCGUGCCAGCAGCCGCGGUAAGACGAACCGUGCGAACGUUAUUCGGAAUCACUGGGCUUAAAGCGCGUGUAGGCGGGACGGCACGUCGGUCGCUGAAAGCCCCCGGCUCAACCGGGGAACGGGCGCCGAUACGACCGUCCUGGAGGGACGUAGGGGGACCUGGAACUUCCGGUGGAGCGGUGAAAUGCGUUGAGAUCGGAAGGAACGCCCGUGGCGAAAGCGAGGUCCUGGACGUUUUCUGACGCUGAGACGCGAAAGCCAGGGGAGCGAACG